AUGGCGAACGAGCACUUCUUCCCCGGCGAGUACUUUUCCUCCGGCCUCGCGGCGCCGUUCCUUGGCGCAUCUUACGUGCAGCCGCCGCGUUCAGGGUUCGAAGCCGCCGCGGCUAUGGCCUUCGGGCUGCCGUGGGCAGCCGACCAGCAUCUUCCAGUAGACUCCUCAGCCACCACGGCGCACUUUGACUCCGCGCUCAGCUCUCUGGUCUCGUCUCCUGCCAGCGCCACCGCCGGCGGAGGCUUAGGCUUCGCGCACGGCUGCGAGGAUGACGUCGCCAUCGGCGACCUGAUCGGCCGGCUCGGCAGCAUCUGCAACGGCGCCAGCGCCAACAACUCCUGCUACAGCACGCCUAUCAGCUCCCCUCCACGCGGGGCGCCGCAGGCGUUCCGGGGCUACGGCGCCAUCGCCGCGCUGGAGACCGGCAGGCUAUCCCGGGUGUCAAGCAGCAAGUCGCUCGUCGGCAACACCUCCGGCGUUGCCGCGACGGCGCCAUUGGAUCAGAGCGCCCAACUGGAGAUGAGCCCCGAGACGGACAGCCAGCCCGCAACCGCAAUGCAGGACCCGCACACGAAAAAGGGCGCCGCCGGUUCCGCGCGGAAGCGCAAGGCGGCCCCGGCGAAGGGCAAGGCGAAGGCUUCUUUACCCGCAGUACAGCCCAGUUGCUCCAUGGCGGCAAUCAAUACGAGCCCGCCGAAGCGGCCUAGGGUGGCCGACGGCGGCGACGAGGAAAACGCCGGGGCGGUGGAGGAGGAGGAGAAGGCCGAGCCGGCCAAGGACUACAUCCAUGUGAGGGCGAGGAGGGGGCAGGCAACCGAUAGUCACAGCCUCGCCGAGAGGGUGAGGAGGGAGAAGAUCGGUGAGAGGAUGAAGCUGCUGCAGUCCCUGGUGCCAAGCUGCAACAAGAUCACCGGCAAGGCACUCAUGCUCGACGAGAUCAUCAACUACGUCCAGUCGCUGCAGCGUCAGGUCGAGUUUCUGUCCAUGAAAUUGUCGACCAUGAAUCCUCAGUUGGAGCUCGACGAGCAGCACAUCCCGUCCAAAGAGAUGAACCAGAUGGCAGUGCCCGGCUUCUCCUACGCCGGUUCACCCGUCGCCGUCGCGACCGGCCACGGCCACGGGGCAGAGCUAGAAGGCACCUUCAGCUGGGAGCAUGACCUCCAGAGCAUGGUGCAGAUGGGGGGAGCCAGCAGCAGCCAUAGGCAGGACCCCCAAGCUUUCUACGGCGAGUGA
rnacentral:rRNA from 1 species